rnacentral:rRNA from 1 species
GCAUAUCAAUAAGCGGAGGAAAAGAAAAUAACAAUGAUUCCUCUAGUAACUGCGAGUGAAGAGGGAAAAGCUCAAAUUUUAAAUCUGUUAGGUUUACCUAACCGAGUUGUAAUUUGAAGAAGCGUUUUCUGCGAAUUUGGUUAGUCCAAAUCCUUUGGAAUAGGGUAUCAUGGAGGGUGAGAAUCCCGUUCGGUUAACCAAAGCGCUUUACGAUACGCUUUCAAAGAGUCAAGUUGUUUGGGAUUGCAGCUUAAAAUGGGAGGUAAAUUUCUCCUAAGGCUAAAUAUUGGCGAGAGACCAAUAGCGAACAAGUACCGUGAGGGAAAGAUGAAAAGAACUUUGAAAAGAGAGUUAAACAGUACGUGAAAUUGUUGAAAGGGAAACGAUUAAAGUCAGUCGUACCUACGAGUAAUCAACCUACUCGAGUGCGAUUUUGUGGGUAUGUUAGAGCUUAAAAACCUUCAUGCUUACAAAUUGGUGCUCUUUGGGCGUACUUUCUCGUAUGGUAGGUUAACAUCAAUUUCGAUCGUUAUAAAAUGACUGGAGGAAUGUAGCUUCGAUCUCGGUUGAAGUGUUAUAGCCUUUGGUAGAUGUAAUGAUUGGGAUUGAGGAUUGCAACGGAUACCCUCUGGGCUAUUCGUCUGAUCUCUGGAAGUUACCUUGGUGUCGAAAGCGUGCUUACGAUAUUAAGGUUGACGGCCAAUAGGUUAGAACGUGAUUAAAUUCGUUAAGGAUGUUGACGUAAUGGCUUUAAACGAC